rnacentral:lncRNA from 1 species
CUAUUAUCACAUGCUUGGGGUUUGUCAGGGAUGGGGGAGGCCUCUGGUUUGUGCUGUCCACACUGCUUCCUCCCCUGGAGGCACUGUGUGUAACAGGAACCUGGUUGAACAUUGCAAAAAGAUGUGUGGAAAUAACUGAUUUUCCUCUUCUGAAAACCUGUGCCUGAUCUGCAGGAGCAGGAAUCCUUUUGAAGAUACUCCUGCAUACUUCAUGUGUACUGGAGGCAGGUUGCAAGGCUGUUUUCCUUUUUCCUUGCUUAAAGGGCUCCUAUUGCCCAGAAAAAUGCCUGUGCAGGGACACCAGAGGGUGUGUUGCCAGCCCUGGCACAUGGUGGCUGUCAAGGGCACUGAAGCACAAGAGACAAGUUCAGGAGACCUGGGUUCCUACAUUGUCCAGAGCUGUUGUAGGUGGACCAGAAUGUUUGCUGCCUGGGAGAGGCUUGUAGACCCAAAAGGCUGGAAGGAAGCACUACAUUUCUCUCCUUUGCCUCCUGUUAAAAGUGUGCCAGAGACACUAAUCCAGCAUUUGAAUUUCAGCCAGGUAGCUGGAAGGGAUGGCAUCUCCUCAGCACCUUCCUCUGAUGGACUACCCAGCUUUGCUUCUCGUCAUGCCUCCCUGUACUUCUCUUCCUUAGGGCAGGAGGGAGGUGUUGCUAGAGAGACUGACUUUCUUUGA